rnacentral:lncRNA from 1 species
UAUGACAUUAAAAUUUUAGAUCAAAGUUAUUGAUCUUGUUUUAUAUGGUAUAAAGAAUUUUCUAUCAAAGUUUCAUGUGAUUUGGAUAUUUCUACACCAUUAAACUUGCAACCGGCUCACCACGGCCAUUAAAAUUAUUGAUUUUGAGCCCCCUCGAUCACUAGGCAAAUGAUAUUGAAAAAUCACAAAAUUUAUUUUCUAGGUACUUCAAAUACUCUAGAUCAACUCUAACGGAGCCGAUCGUCGAUUCGAAAGUCCGAACAUCGAAAACAACUUGGAAGCACGAAGGGCUCCGUGCUUCCAUAAGCAUACCAGCCCACUCAUAUAUAUAUAUAUAUAACUAGGUUGGAAUACUAUCAAUAAUACCAAGCUAUUGGUGCUAUUGAUUUUUUAGCCCUUGGAUUGAGAAAUGAGUGGUUAGGAUGAUGUGGGCCCCCUAGGAUUGAGUGAGUGGUUGGUUGAAUAGUAUAAUCUAACGGAUAAAAAUAAUCAAAUGGUUAAAUCUAACGGUGGAAAAAUCGAUAGCAUCAAAUCCUUGGUGCUAUUGAUAGUACCCCAGCCGGACUCUGUGUAGUGUUCCGGAGGUUUGGAUAGGAUUGGGAACAGUAUUAGUGACAGGUCGGCACAUCUGGAGAGUGUCGGACUCAAUUGGAGUCAUUUCUGCACGAAAUGGAUGC